GAACAUUUGGUGUGGAAAUAUUUUUAUUUUAUUGGUUAAAACAGCAUAAUACUCUUCAAAGACAAAAUUCAGUGAAAACGUCAAGCUGUUUACUUUGCAAAGGAAAAGGUUUAGUUUUUUCCAGAUUCAGGCAAUGGAUUUGCUUUACCAUCAAGCUUGGACUUAGCCAUCUGGAACUAAAAGAAAAAAAUUUGCUGUCAUACAUUUGUUAGCGAAUGUUCUGCAUGUUUUGUAUGAUUCCAUGUUCAAUCAACACGGUUGGAUCACGUGUGAGAAAACUACACAGGAAAGUGUACAUUUGGCAACCAAGCACCAACCUAACUCUACAUAUAGGCUCUAGUGCAGUGAUCUGUGCCACAUGCUCCAAAGUGCACAAUACAAUUCCAUGUUGUUUAUAAUCUGAGCACAAAUUAAUGCACACAGGGUUGCAUUUGGUGCCUUAAUCACAGGACAGGCUCCAGCCCCCGUGUACGCCUCAAAUGGACUAAGCAGGUAUAGAAAACGAAGACUCUGGGCAUUUUGGGUAAAACAAAUCUGUGCAUCAGCAACUGGUGCAUUUCUCAAUUGUUCACCACAGCUCCCUGAGGUGAAGCAUUGAAGCACCCACGGCAACUCCCAUCACCAAAUCUCCAACAUACCUGCACCAUCCCAUGACCAGCCUGAUGUGGGGAAAAAUAUGGUACAAACCAGUUAAGCCCUGGGUGGACCAAAUAAUAAAGCCAUGAGUAAUGAGCCACGUAUGGAUUUGACAGAAAUUUCAGUGAUUAUUCGAAUAAUGAGCCACAUAUAUGAUGUUCUUCUGAAGGAAUUGCAGGAAACAGAUGUUAAAAAAGAUUAGAAGGGCUUUCUUAGAGUGGAACUUGCUCUGUUGCAGGUAGCCUGUCCUGUCCUCAUAGCUGCCAGGUACUCGGAUAACGGGCCUCUAACAGCCUCGUACUCACCACUAACAUGUCUCCAACAUCCUUGUUUGUCCUCCUAGUAUCUCGUUCAUAAAAUUAGCACCAUGCUCAGAGAAAGAGCUUCGUUAGCCGAAUAAUCUGCCUCUAAUAGCCACUAUUCUCCAACGUUUCUUGAAUAACAACACACACAAAAAAACUUCACGCUAUGUGGCUCAUUAUUCAUCAUUUGGUCUGACCAGUGCUUUAGUUUUGUUUCCAAUAAACUUUUGCUGUCACGUGAUGUUCCAAAGUGCACCCUUGUGUGUUCAAAGGAGUGCACACGACGUGAGCCCACAAAUUUAAGGCAGAACUGAUAAGUGCUCAUUGUUACACUAGGUUUUUUGUGGUCUAUGGUGCCACCGCCUUCUGCUUCCAUGAUAGCAAUGUACCAGCACUGUGCCUGCCCACACCUCAUUUAGGACUGAUGGAGCAGUACGUGUUUACAUGAGAAUGAACGAAUCUGUGUCAGGAACAGAGUCUGCGUAUUUGAGAUGAGUAGUUUCACAUUUAUGACAUUAAAAUAUUUUACGUACCAUUUAAAAAAAUUUUUACGAUUGUGCAAAAUCAUAGAAUCACAAAAACAAAACUAGAGCUCCGACUCACAAUUCAUGUAACCUUCAAUCAAUUAUACUUUCUAAGCCGAAAAUACCCAUGUUGCCCAGACCCAAAUGUGCCAUCUUCAGUAGUUUUCUCUCUCUAAAAGUUAAGAUACCUCACAGUAAUAUUUCAACAAAUUAAAAAGAAAAGCUGAAACAGGUACAAGUUUGAGCUUUUUGUUUCUUCAGUAAACUCCUCUCUUAGGACACCUUCACAUUUGUUUGGUUGUCAGACUGUGGAUAUAAAAUUUUACAUGCAUGCCAAAGACGUUCAGGUCAACGUGCACAUCAUCCUGACACGCAGCUUGCUGUAUUUGGAACAGAUUGUUUUGCAUUUAGGAACAGAGGCUUUUUAUCAGAAUGACGUGCGCCUCACUGCACCCUCAACCUCCAGCUGAUGAGCUGUACAGUGAAAGAAGAUGAUCCACUGAUUGACAGGUGCGUUCAGGUGUUGGGACUGAGCCAUGACAAAAUAACAUGAGAAGAGUGGAUUAGAGUUGGAAUCUGGGGGCUGAGAUAGGCUCCAGGUCCCCAUGACUUUUAACUGGAAUAAGCAAGUUCAGAAAAUGAAGGAAUGAAAAACAAUGGCAAAGGUGUGGGUGCUCAAAAAAAAAAAAAAAAAC